GAUGAACGCUAGCUACAGGCUUAACACAUGCAAGUCGCGGGGCAGCAUGGGGGUUGCUUGCAAUCCCCGAUGGCGACCGGCGCACGGGUGAGUAACGCGUAUCCAACCUGCCCUUCACCACGGGAUAACCCGGCGAAAGUCGGACUAAUACCGUAUGUUGUCCAUUGACGGCAUCCGAUUUGGACGAAAGGUUUGGCGGGGAAGGAUGGGGAGGCGUCCGAUUAGCUGGACGGCGGGGUGACGGCCCACCGUGGCGACGAUCGGUAGGGGUUCUGAGAGGAAGGUCCCCCACACUGGAACUGAGACACGGUCCAGACUCCUACGGGAGGCAGCAGUGAGGAAUAUUGGUCAAUGGGCGUAAGCCUGAACCAGCCAAGUAGCGUGCAGGAUGACGGCCCUAUGGGUUGUAAACUGCUUUUAUGCGGGGAUAAAGUGGCCCACGUGUGGGUUUUUGCAGGUACCGCAUGAAUAAGGACCGGCUAAUUCCGUG
rnacentral:rRNA from 1 species